rnacentral:rRNA from 1 species
AUACGGAGGAUCCGAGCGUUAUCCGGAUUUAUUGGGUUUAAAGGGAGCGUAGGCGGCAGGUUAAGUCAGUUGUGAAAGUUUGCGGCUCAACCGUAAAAUUGCAGUUGAUACUGGCCUGCUUGAGUGCGGCAGAGGCAGGCGGAAUUUGUGGUGUAGCGGUGAAAUGCUUAGAUAUCACGAAGAACUCCGAUUGCGAAGGCAGCUUGCUGGAGCGUAACUGACGCUGAUGCUCGAAAGUGCGGGUAUC